UGUUUCAAACAUUUUCGCUACUUGAACACAAACGGAGCCAAAGUCUCUCUAGAUCAGUUGUGAGCCAGGCCUACUGCAUUAGACCACAUUGAAAAGAAAAAAAAGAAAAAAAAAAUCCGGAAGAAAACCUCUUUUGACAUAACCUCGAGACACCAUCAAACUGUAGACCCAGACAAUUGUUUGCCAAAAAUUUCAACAGAAAAGACUGAUUCCCAGAUUGAUUUCAUGUUUCCAACAAUGGCCAAUUUGCAGGGUUAGGAACUUAGGUGCCUAACCCUUGCGAAAGUUGGAGCUCUGUGAUUUUCGGCUUCUGCUCGUGUUGGGAUUCGUUCAACAACUUCCGACUUUCAACCAGUGCAAACUAGAAGAAGUAAGUGAAAACCCAACUUGCACUAGUUUUUUUGUUUUACUUUCGGAAAAAAUACAAACCCUUGUCAAUGAUUCUGCAUAUACACAGAUUUUGAUUUGUAGUAUCAAAUUCAAUCAGGAUCCUUUUGUUAGUUUCAGUUUUCUUCUUAACCAAACUGAUUGCGCAAGUUUAUGAAAAUCGAGGAGAUUUUCACGGAUAGUUUGAUUCGUUAUGUGACAUACCUUUUUGUGGUUAAAGAUAUCUGAUGUAUACGCUUAGGCUUUAUUCACGUUUAAAAUCAUCUAAUAAGUUACAUUAUCAAACUUCCAUCGUGAUUUCAGCUGAUGAUUGAUAGUUUGGUCCAUAAUUUUUGUCUAAACAAAGAGAGAAAAUAAAUAAAAGAGCUAUUCAACUUACAAUCCGAUUAGGGAAUGAACAUCCUACUCUUAAAUAGGUAUUUUGCACUAGAGAAUUUACUAGCUCACUCUUAAAUAGGUAUUUUGCACUAGAGAAUUUACUAGCUCAAUCCGUACACACCAAUAUUUCUUCAUCGUCUGGGCAGCAAGCUUUAACUGGAACAUUGACGAGAGAGGUGGUUUGGAAGUUGUCAGGGACCAUGAAAGAGUUACUGUUGUUUGCAUAUGCUGACCGAUUUGUACUCUCGGUUUCACUAUCCGGUUUGCUGCUUUUAACUUCGUCCUUUUGAUUUGGAACUUGGACUUGGCUUUGGGCUUUCCUGUUAAGAACAAGAACAAGAACUAGGAAUUGUAAACAAAUCGAAAAAAGAAAAAUGAACAGAGUCUAGAUUCUAGAACUCUACCUUCUUCUAAGCCUUCUCCACUUCAGAUAGAGCGUUAAUUGAAUAUUGUCAAGGAGUUGGAAAUAGGCAUAUCUCCACGUCCUCUUGAGAAGCAAAGGGCAAAUGAAUCCCAAAUACCCUACAAAGAAACCAAGCACAACGGAUAACUCAAACCAUAGACUUUGAUCCUCAUCAUUGUCCAAAUCCUGGUUGUUCUCAUUAUCAUCUGCAUCAUUGCCAUUACUUGGGAAGCACUGGUUUGAAAGUGGGGCACCGCAAAGUUUCGGAUUCCCUUCGAAUGCAGAGACACUGAAGCCUUGGAGCUGAGUGCCGGCUGGUAUUGGUCCUUCAAGAUUAUUGUAUGCAACAGUAAAUGUAGACAAGAAAUGGAGAUUUGAUAGUGAUGAUGGGAUUUCGCCUGACAGACGGUUACUGUUGAGUUCUAAUCUCUCCAACUUUGUGAGGCUGGCUAUUUGGUCUGGAAUGUUGCCGGAGAAGUUGUUGAUGCUUAGAUCCAGUUGUUGAAGAAAUUGCAAUUGGCCAAUCUCAAAGGGUAUGCUGCCGCUUAAACUGUUGUUCCUGAGGGAGAUUACUCUUGGCAUGUUGGGCAGAUAUUUGUACUGUGAAGCCAGCACAGUUGCAUUAUUACCGCGUUGAAAGUAGACGGGCAGCUCAAGAGAACAAUGGCCUGUUUCAUUCACAGCCUUUUGCGAUACUAAUGCUUGUAGUCUGCAAAGCUCCUUUGGAAAUUCACCCGAAAUCAAGUUGUCAUUCAACA